rnacentral:pre_miRNA from 1 species
AAUGACACGUUUUCUCCCGGUUCGCCAGACCCACAGGAGCCAUCGGGAAACUCGUGUCAGCCA